rnacentral:misc_RNA from 1 species
CAAAAAAAAAAAAAAAAAAACUUCAGUUGCAACGGCACUCGUAAUGUAACCCCAAGUUUUGACACUGUUCACGCUGCCUUUUCUUUUUCCUCAAUUGGUGGGUCAUACAUUUUAAUCGUCGGAUGGCUAAAGCUCCCUCAUUGUUUCUUUUUAAUUUUAUUUUAUUAUUUCCUUGAACUUUAUACCUUACGGUUCUAAAUUGUUAAUACAGCUCCCUGAAAACAACUUCAAAGCCACUGAAUUAAAACUAAUUGGCUCUUCUCUUUUCGUUUGUUUUUUUUCCCACCCAUAUUGGCAAAUGUUAUGAUACUCAUUAAAAUUUUCUUUCCAUGUCACAAACUCGUAAUUAUUGUACAAGUUUGUUGCUAUUUUGGACCAUAGAACUUUUCAUUCGUUGAAAUAAAAUUGGAUUGAAAUGAGAAUGUUGCUUCUAUUAUUCUCAAGGGUGAGCAUUGGUUGGAUAAAUUGGGUUCAAAUUUUAGCAAAA